UGGGGAAUAUUGCACAAUGGGGGAAACCCUGAUGCAGCGACGCCGCGUGAAGGAAGAAGUAUUUCGGUAUGUAAACUUCUAUCAGCAGGGAAGAUAAUGACGGUACCUGUACUAA
rnacentral:rRNA from 1 species